AGCUGAAGCCAUUUAACUCUUUCCACUGGAGCCUGCUGAGCUUAACCUCUCCCACCUUUCAGCUCUGGGCCCAACAGUGAAGUUCCUGGAGGGAAGAAAACAGGCAAGAAGCAGCAAGAGGGUGAAACAAUGAAUGUUAACUCAAAAAAUGUGAAUUAUUUGUAAUUUCCUGUGGAAAAGCUUCAGACAUCUAACCUCAAGCCAGAAGAAAAUGCAUCGUGUGUUAAUCAGGCAGAACAAGGAAUAGGAAAACAGGAGCCUGGAUGCAAACAUUUCACAAACCUCAGUGGUGUGGAAACAAAGAAACAAAGAAACCUGCUGAGUGCAGUGGUGACUUUGGAUGAGGAGGAGCCCUGCCCACCAUUGCUCCUCACAACAGUGGUUCAGUCAAGCAGUUGGAGCCCUGACCACCCAGUGCUCCCAGCAAGAGCAUUUUUAGCUUGACUCAAUCAGAUCCUUUUCCCAGAGGCACACAAGGCUGUGAGAGGGAAAUGUCUCCUGUCCAGCAGAGUGGGAGGCAGAACUCCAAACACAGGGCAGCACAGCAGCUUAGCAGCUUUUUGGGAGCUCAGUUCAAGGGAGAUGUUCUGUCUCAGAGCUGUCCAUGGUGCUUUUCAGUGGCUGUGAACAGAUGCUGCACAGCAGAGCCCAUGACCACUGCCAUGACAGAGGGACCAAAGGACUGACAGACACCUCUGACUGCUUUCAGCCUCAUGGAACAAACCUGGAGCAGCUCUCCACUGAUCUCAUCAU